rnacentral:rRNA from 1 species
GUCGAGCGGACAGAUGGGAGCUUGCUCCCUGAUGUUAGCGGCGGACGGGUGAGUAACACGUGGGUAACCUGCCUGUAAGACUGGGAUAACUCCGGGAAACCGGGGCUAAUACCGGAUGGUUGUUUGAACCGCAUGGUUCAGACAUAAAAGGUGGCUUCGGCUACCACUUACAGAUGGACCCGCGGCGCAUUAGCUAGUUGGUGAGGUAACGGCUCACCAAGGCAACGAUGCGUAGCCGACCUGAGAGGGUGAUCGGCCACACUGGGACUGAGACACGGCCCAGACUCCUACGGGAGGCAGCAGUAGGGAAUCUUCCGCAAUGGACGAAAGUCUGACGGAGCA